UCAGCAUGGCUCCUGAUAGUACCCAUCGCCAGCACAUCCUCCUUGAUGAUCUGAAUCCUCCUCUUUCCCCUUUCUCCUUCCUCUGGUUUUCAGAAGUCCCACCCUAUUCUCUAUUCUGCCUGGGAAUUGGGUGAUUAGCAUUUAGUGACAAGGCAGAGAAUUAAUGGUAAGAAUUGUUUACACAAACAUGAGACAGGACAUUCUUGGUAUAAGCAUUAUGAUGCCAUGUCCAGAUUGAAAUAAGAUAUGAGGGCAGAGAAAUCAGCAUUUGAAUAACACAAGGGUAAAAUUUACACAGUGUAUAAAAACAUUAUGCCUUAUAGGAACUAACUUCUGAGCAAACCAGCAGCAUCUUGGUGAGCAUUAUGGAACAUCAUGCUGAUGGAUGUAAAAUCCCAGAGCCUUCCAGAGAAAAAUUGUGUUCCAGAGAGAGAUUUCUGGUUUCUCUGACCACCAUGCAGGACAGAAUGGAGUCAAACAGCAAUGGGACAAUGAUAGGUACUCUCUUUCUACCCACCAAAGGUGGAGCACUUCCCAGCCGGAGCUACCUUCCUGCCACUGUGUGAUCCACAUUCUGAUUCUGGGACAGGAGGAGAUCAGAAGAGGUUGGAGGCUGAAAAAUAGGCCACACAGGUUCCAGGAAG
rnacentral:lncRNA from 1 species